AUUGAACGCUGGCGGCAGGCCUAACACAUGCAAGUCGAACGGUAACAGGAAGCAGCUUGCUGCUUCGCUGACGAGUGGCGGACGGGUGAGUAAUGUCUGGGAAGCUGCCUGAUGGAGGGGGAUAACUACUGGAAACGGUAGCUAAUACCGCAUAAUGUCGCAAGACCAAAGAGGGGGACCUUCUGGCCUCUUGCCAUCGGAUGUGCCCAGAUGGGAUUAGCUUGUUGGUGGGGUAACGGCUCACCAAGGCGACGAUCCCUAGCUGGUCUGAGAGGAUGACCAGCCACACCGGAACUGAGACACGGUCCAGACUCCUACGGGAGGCAGCAGUGGGGAAUAUUGCACAAUGGGCGCAAGCCUGAUGCAGCCAUGCCGCGUGUAUGAAGAAGGCCUUCGGGUUGUAAAGUACUUUCAGCGGGGAGGAAGGGAGUAAAGUUAAUACCUUUGCUCAUUGACGUUACCCGCAGAAGAAGCACCGGCUAACUCCGUG
rnacentral:rRNA from 1 species